rnacentral:sRNA from 1 species
GCCAGGCACAGUGGUGCAUGCCUGUAAUUCCAGCAGCUCGGGAGGCUGAGACAGGAGGAUUGCAGGUUCAAAGCCAGCCUUAGCAACUAAGCAAUUCAGUGAGACCCUGUCCCUA